AGAGUUUGAUCAUGGCUCAGAACGUACGCUGGCGGCACGCCUAACACAUGCAAGUCGAACGCAGUAGCAAUACUGAGUGGCGAACGGGUGAGGAUAAUGUGGGUAUCUGCCUUUUGGUCUGGAACAACACGAGGAAACUUGUGCUAAUACCGGAUAAGCCUUUACAGGGAAAGCUUUAUGCACCAAUUGAUGAGCCCGCACUUGAUUAGCUAGUUGGGAAGGUAAUGGCUUACCAAGGCUACGAUCGAUAGCUGAUCUGAGAGGAUGAUCAGCUACAUUGGGACUGAGACACGGCCCAAACUCCUACGGGAGGCAGCAGUGGGGAAUCUUGCACAAUGGGGGAAACCCUGAUGCAGCGAUGCCGCGUGAGUGAAGAAGGCCUUUGGGUUGUAAAGCUCUUUCGUCAGGGAAGAAAAUGACUGUACUCGAAUAAGAAGGUCCGGCUAACUUCGUGCCAGCAGCCGCGGUAAUACGAAGGGACCUAGAGUAGUUCGGAAUUACUGGGCUUAAAGAGCUCGUAGGUGGUUAGAAAAGUUAGUGGUGAAAGCCCAAGGCUCAACCUUGGAACUGCCACUAAAACUUUUUAACUAGAGUGUGAUAGAGGUAAGCGGAAUUUCUAGUGUAGAGGUGAAAUUCGUAGAUAUUAGAAAGAACACCAAUUGCGAAGGCAGCUUUCUGGAUCAUUACUGACACUGAGGAGCGAAAGCAUGGGUAGCGAAGAGGAUUAGAUACCCUCGUAGUCCAUGCUGUAAACGAUGUGUGCUAGAUGUUGGAAAUUUAUUUUUCAGUAUCGCAGCAAAAGCGUUAAGUACUCCGCCUGGGGACUACGGCCGCAAGGCUGAAACUCAAAGGAGUUGACGGGGACCCGCACAAGCGGUGGAACAUGUGGUUUAAUUCGAUGCAACGCGAAGAACCUUACCUGGGCUUGACAUGUUCAUGAAAGCUCUGUGAAAGCAGAGCCCUCUGCGAGCUUGCUCAAAGACAUGAUCACAGGUGGUGCAUGGCUGUCGUCAGCUCGUGUCGUGAGAUGUUUGGUUAAGUCCAGCAACGAGCGCAACCCCUUUCCUUAGUUGCCAGCACAUUAUGGUGGGGACUCUAAGGAUACUGCCUGGGAUAACCAGGAGAAAGGUGGGGAUGAUGUCAAGUCAGUAUGUCCCUUAUGUCCAGGGCUACACACGUGUUACAAUGGCUAGUACAAAGGGUUGCCAACCCGCGAGGGGGAGCCAAUCUCAAAAAACUAGCCCCAGUUCAGAUUGGAGUCUGCAACUCGACUCCAUGAAGGAGGAAUCGCUAGUAAUCGUGGAUCAGCACGCCACGGUGAAUACGUUCCCGGGUCUUGUACACACCGCCCGUCACGCCAUGGAAGUCAGCAGUACCCAAAGCCGGUGGCCUAACCUUCGGGAGGGAGCCGUCUAAGGUAAGGCUGGUAACUGGGGCGAAGUCGUAACAAGGUAGCC
rnacentral:rRNA from 1 species